rnacentral:rRNA from 1 species
CACGUAGGGGGCGAGCGUUGUCCGGAAUUACUGGGCGUAAAGGGCGCGCAGGCUGUUAUGCGAGUCUGCUGUGAAAUGUACCGGCUCAACCGGUGCCUUGCGGCGGAUACUGCAUAGCUGGAGUACUGGAGAGGGAAGUGGAAUUCCCGGUGUAGCGGUGAAAUGCGUAGAUACUGGUAGGAACACCCAUUGCGAAGGCAGCUCGCUGGACAACACGUGACGCUGAGGCGCGAAAGUGUGGGGAGCAAACCGGAUUAGAUA